rnacentral:rRNA from 1 species
UACAGAGGGUGCGAGCGUUGUCCGGAAUCACUGGGCGUAAAGGGCGCGUAGGUGGCGACCCAAGUCCGUGGUGAAAGCUCGUCGCUCAACGACGAGUCGGCCACGGAGACUGGGUGGCUCGAGCACUGUAGGGGCAGAUGGAAUUCCGGGUGUAGCGGUGGAAUGCGUAGAGAUCCGGAAGAACACCAGUGGCGAAGGCGGUCUGCUGGGCAGUUGCUGACACUGAGGCGCGACAGCGUGGGGAGCAAACAGG